rnacentral:rRNA from 1 species
GGGGAAUCUUGCGCAAUGGGGGAAACCCUGACGCAGCGACGCCGCGUGGAGGAUGAAGGCCUUCGGGUUGUAAACUCCUUUUCUCAGGGAAAAUGGUGAUGGUACCUGAGGAAUAAGCCACGGCUAACUCUGUGCCAGCAGCCGCGGUAAGACAGAGGUGGCGAGCGUUGUUCGGAAUUACUGGGCUUAAAGGGCGAGUAGGCGGUAAGGCAAGUCUGAGGUGGAAUCCUAUGGCUUAACCAUAGAACGGCCUCGGAAACUGCUUUACUUGAGUCAGUGAGGGGAGGGCGGAAUUCCUGGUGUAGCGGUGAAAUGCGUAGAUAUCAGGAGGAAGGCCUGUGGCGAAGGCGGCCCUCUGGCACUGUACUGACGCUGAGGCGCGAAAGCGUGGGGAGCAAACAG